rnacentral:rRNA from 1 species
GACGAACGCUGGCGGCGCGCCUAACACAUGCAAGUCGAACGGAGUCAAGAGGAGCUUGCUUUUCUUGACUUAGUGGCGAACGGGUGAGUAACGCGUGAGUAACCUGCCCUGGAGUGGGGGACAACAGUUGGAAACGACUGCUAAUACCGCAUAAGCCCACGGAUCUGCAUGGAUCUGCGGGAAAAGGAUUUAUUCGCUCUAGGAUGGACUCGCGUCCAAUUAGCUAGUUGGUGAGGUAAUGGCCCACCAAGGCGACGAUUGGUAGCCGGACUGAGAGGUUGAACGGCCACAUUGGGACUGAGACACGGCCCAGACUCCUACGGGAGGCAGCAGUGGGGGAUAUUGCACAAUGGGGGAAACCCUGAUGCAGCGACGCCGCGUGGAGGAAGAAGGUUUUCGGAUUGUAAACUCCUGUCGUUAGGGACGAUAAUGACGGUACCUAACAAGAAAGCACCAGCUAACUACGUG